rnacentral:rRNA from 1 species
CGGCGGACGGGUGAGUAACGCGUGGGUAACCUGCCUCAUACAGGGGGAUAACAGUUAGAAAUGACUACUAAUACCGCAUAAGACCACGGUACCGCAUGGUACAGUGGUAAAAACUCCGGUGGUAUGAGAUGGACCCGCGUCUGAUUAGGUAGUUGGUGGGGUAACGGCCUACCAAGCCGACGAUCAGUAGCCGACCUGAGAGGGUGACCGGCCACAUUGGGACUGAGACACGGCCCAG